rnacentral:rRNA from 1 species
GAGUUUGAUCAUGGCUCAGAUUGAACGCUGGCGGCAGGCCUAACACAUGCAAGUCGAACGGUAACAGGAAACAGCUUGCUGUUUCGCUGACGAGUGGCGGACGGGUGAGUAAUGUCUGGGAAACUGCCUGAUGGAGGGGGAUAACUACUGGAAACGGUAGCUAAUACCGCAUAACGUCGCAAGACCAAGAGGGGGACCUUCGGGCCUCUUGCCAUCAGAUGUGCCCAGAUGGGAUUAGCUAGUAGGUGGGGUAACGGCUCACCUAGGCGACGAUCCCUAGCUGGUCUGAGAGGAUGACCAGCCACACUGGAACUGAGACACGGUCCAGACUCCUACGGGAGGCAGCAGUGGGGAAUAUUGCACAAUGGGCGCAAGCCUGAUGCAGCCAUGCCGCGUGUAUGAAGAAGGCCUUCGGGUUGUAAAGUACUUUCAGCGGGGAGGAAGGGAGUAAAGUUAAUACCUUUGCUCAUUGACGUUACCCGCAGAAGAAGCACCGGCUAACUCCGUGCCAGCAGCCGCGGUAAUACGGAGGGUGCAAGCGUUAAUCGGAAUUACUGGGCGUAAAGCGCACGCAGGCGGUUUGUUAAGUCAGAUGUGAAAUCCCCGGGCUCAACCUGGGAACUGCAUCUGAUACUGGCAAGCUUGAGUCUCGUAGAGGGGGGUAGAAUUCCAGGUGUAGCGGUGAAAUGCGUAGAGAUCUGGAGGAAUACCGGUGGCGAAGGCGGCCCCCUGGACGAAGACUGACGCUCAGGUGCGAAAGCGUGGGGAGCAAACAGGAUUAGAUACCCUGGUAGUCCACGCCGUAAACGAUGUCGACUUGGAGGUUGUGCCCUUGAGGCGUGGCUUCCGGAGCUAACGCGUUAAGUCGACCGCCUGGGGAGUACGGCCGCAAGGUUAAAACUCAAAUGAAUUGACGGGGGCCCGCACAAGCGGUGGAGCAUGUGGUUUAAUUCGAUGCAACGCGAAGAACCUUACCUGGUCUUGACAUCCACGGAAGUUUUCAGAGAUGAGAAUGUGCCUUCGGGAACCGUGAGACAGGUGCUGCAUGGCUGUCGUCAGCUCGUGUUGUGAAAUGUUGGGUUAAGUCCCGCAACGAGCGCAACCCUUAUCCUUUGUUGCCAGCGGUCCGGCCGGGAACUCAAAGGAGACUGCCAGUGAUAAACUGGAGGAAGGUGGGGAUGACGUCAAGUCAUCAUGGCCCUUACGACCAGGGCUACACACGUGCUACAAUGGCGCAUACAAAGAGAAGCGACCUCGCGAGAGCAAGCGGACCUCAUAAAGUGCGUCGUAGUCCGGAUUGGAGUCUGCAACUCGACUCCAUGAAGUCGGAAUCGCUAGUAAUCGUGGAUCAGAAUGCCACGGUGAAUACGUUCCCGGGCCUUGUACACACCGCCCGUCACACCAUGGGAGUGGGUUGCAAAAGAAGUAGGUAGCUUAACCUUCGGGAGGGCGCUUACCACUUUGUGAUUCAUGACUGGGGUGAAGUCGUAACAAGGUAACCGUAGGGGGACCUGCGGUUG